UACGAAGGGGGCUAGCGUUGUUCGGAAUUACUGGGCGUAAAGCGCAUGUAGGCGGAUAUUUAAGUCAGGGGUGAAAUCCCGAGGCUCAACCUCGGAACUGCCUUUGAUACUGGGUGUCUUGAGUGUGAGAGAGGUGAGUGGAACUCCGAGUGUAGAGGUGAAAUUCGUAGAUAUUCGGAAGAACACCAGUGGCGAAGGCGACUCACUGGCUCAUUACUGACGCUGAGGCUCGAAAGCGUGGGGAGCAAACAGG
rnacentral:rRNA from 1 species